UGGGGUAUGGCUCAGUGGUUGAGAGCUUUGCUACAAGUACAAGGCCCUGGGUUUGACUCCCAGCACUCCCC
rnacentral:tRNA from 1 species